UAGGGACUGUGAGCACUUCACCUGUCACUACUCUGCAAACUCUGCAUGGUUUUGGGUAAAACAGGAAGAAAGGUGUGUUAUGGCUCUCAACUAACAGGAAGAUGCCAUAAACAAUGAUGUGUUAGCCAGGAUGUUAGAAGAUGCCAUUGUACACAAGAGAUGCAGAACACAACUAGGUGGGGUAAAUUACAGUUUCUGAUUUAAAGGUUUCUGCAGCUUGUGAACCUUCCCACCCUUCUUCUCAGCCUUUAUGAGAAUCCCUGCUGAGGAUCUGCACUGCUGCAGGUGAAGAAACCCAUCUAGACAACGUGGCCUGCAUGCAUGGGCUCACAGGCUUUGGCUGCUACAGUAUUGGCACCCAACUCACAUCACAGCCAGGACGACUCAGAUGUUAAACAGGCUGUCCAUGCUCACACAUGAGCCUUUGAAGUGAAAAUGUACAUGGACCGGCUCCUGAAUACUUUUGUAGAUAUGCCAGCACAUGACCUGUGUGGUCCCCUUGCAGUCCUGCUUAGACUAAAUUUGCAAGCAAGCAAUGUUCUCACCCAAGAGGAUGGACAUUUGUGAUCUAAUUGAUUAAAUUUGUGUUAUCCAAGAGGGUGUUCCCAGCCAAACAGUGAAAUGCUUCUAAAGCAUUCCAAAACAAAUCCCAGGGUGACCUGUGCUGCAGCCACACAGAGCUACCUCUGACCCUGCACUCCUGCCAGACCAGAAAGUAACACGGGCUUCAGACCAAUCAGCUCUGGGCAUCAGGGAUUUUGCAGUACUAGAAAAAGGUGGCUAACUCUCCACUCCCUUUUCCUAGUUGUAUGAUGUGAAGUGCUGCUGAAGUCAGUGGAGUUGCACUGCUAUAAAACCAGAUACAACAGAGCAGGUACUUAGCACUUAUGAAAUGCAAGCUCAAGGCAGGCUGUGAGGAACAUCUGCACUUAGAGAAGUCCUUCUGGAAAGCCAAUGGAAAUUAUUUGCUCAAAUAUUAUGCUCCUCCAGCAAUCAGUGGAACUAUUAGUUAACCUGAGGGUGGUCUCUUGCCCACUGCGAGCAUGGCAGGAUCCAUGUGAGGGGACAGAGGAAGAUACAGGCUCACAUUCCAGCAAAGAUGUCCACAGAGGGAUGCACUUCCCCCUGAGGAGCUAUCAGGUCCCUCUGACACCACUGCCUUCUAACACGGACGUUCUCCAGCCUGCAUCAGUCAUCACAGGACACAGCUCUUUUCAUACCUUCUUCCCAACGCUGUGCUGAGGCUCCUGUGGAAUUGCUGUCUGUCUGUCAGCGUUCCUACCUGUGCCUGUGGUCAGUGCUGAUACUCAGGUGAGCUACAGACCACUGAUUAAGUGCAGUCCCAUACCACUGGUGAGCAAUCACAGAAGUUUGGACAACCAUGUAUUCUCACUGAGCCCUGUUGCACUGUGCAGUAAUUAAAAAGUCAUGAGUCCUAUUUAAAUAUAGGGCAUUCUGUCCUAAACCUUUGAGUGCCUGUGGGUGUGAGCAGGCUCAUUCUCCAAAGAUGUUCUCUGGUCUGUGUACAUACACCAGCUUCAUCAAAAGGAUGUAGGAAAUGCCAAAUCCAGAUAUACGGAUUCCACUUUUUUUUAAAAAAUACAUCAUUGAUCAGUCCAGGGAUGGCAAAAAUUAAUAGUAAUGAGCUAAUUACUAUACCAGCUGCCUACAAAGAGAGGACCUGUAGGCAGACUCCUUCUGCCCAUUUGCCUGCUGGUUAAGCCACCACAUUAGAAAUUAUAAAACAAAACUUUUUUCCCUUUAUAAACAUCUAUCAGUAUCACCUUAAUAUGGCCCACAGCACCAACACUGCCUAGCUUUUAAGUUCUCAGAAUCCAGCCAGAAUCUCCCCUAGCACAUUAUAACACAUUUUACUGGCUUGAGCAGGGUAAAACACAGCCGUCUCCUCAAAUGAAUGGCUGGUGAGCUCCAGCAGCCCCUGCACAAGGCCGGGCUCACCAUCUGUGUUCCUCCCAACGUCCGAAGCCCGUUCACAACUGCCAGCCCUUUGAAAAGCCAGCCUGUUUUCCUGAUUGAUUCACUUUUUAAUGAACUGGGAAAGCCUGUGAACUUAAACCCUGACACCUCCACCUCCCUGCCUUCCUAGCCAUCCCUGCAGCAAUGUACUGAUUAUAUUUCAAGUUAUUAUGGGAUUAAUACAGCUGCCCCCAGUGCCUCUUUCCCCUGAACUUCAUCAAUAAAAGUUGUGUCCUAGUCUUACUCUAGUUAGUU
ensembl:lncRNA